rnacentral:lncRNA from 1 species
UGGAAUUGUGGCACACAACAACUCCAAUUUUCUUAAUUUCUUUUGUUCGUUUAAAAUCAAAUUGAUUCAUCUGAGCUAAUUGAUACAAAGAAAACAGAAUCAUAAACGAUUUCACAAAAUGAAAUAGAAACUUCAGUUGACCUCAUCUUUUUCACUCUUAACUCCAUGAAUCUCUCGUGUCUAUAACAAACAUAUUAACCAUAGGCUGAAUCUGAAAUUGACCAUCCAUCAAAUCCUGUAGUCCAUAUAAUACGUAGAAAAAUUAGAUCAGUUCACUUAAUAACUCAAAAGCAAUCGAAGAGUAAAAGAGAAUGAAAUUGUUCUAUUACACUUUUAAAUCAUACAUCCAAUUCUUUUUAUAAACCAAAUAAAAGUACAAACUAUUAAUAAUGAAACCUUAAUUGGUUGAUUCAGAGGUUUGAGGAAGAGGAGAAGAGAAGAACCAGAGGAUAAUAGCGCAUAGAAGAACGAGAAGAGGGAUAAGGUGGAUAGCUUUCUGAGCUGAUUUGAGACGAUGUUGUUCCUUUUGUGCAACAUGGGAGAGAGGAUCGUAUGUGGGUAAUAGGUUUUGGUCGAUGUCGGUUUUUAUGUUGUUGGGUUUGAAGCUGGAGUAUAGAGAUGAAGGUGAAGAUGAUGACCUAUGCAUCUUUUUGAGGUUAUUGGAUUUUGCAGAUAGUGGGAAGAUUGAGAAAGAAUCGGAAUAGGAUUGUGAGAGUGGGAGGGAUGCAAGUAAUUUGUUUGAAUGAAUGCCUUACUUGGAAUGGGUACAACUUUGUUUUCACUUUGAACAUUUUCAUGACUUUUCAUGGAAGGUGCUGCCAUUAUUGUUAUUAUUAUAGAG